UUAUUAUUAGUUUUACUCUUUACUAAAUAUAUGUUUACUUAUGCCAAGAUUUCAUGUAUUUUGUUUUCUUAUUUUGAAGGGUUCUGAUUCUUUAAAUGCUCCUCCUAGAGUAUCCCCAAAUUCAUUUUCUAGUCGUGAUGCCAAUUCAGAUAAUUCAAAUCAAAUGGGCAAGAAGACUUGUUGAAGUUGAAGUUGAAGAUGGGGUCGUGGCUGUGCUUUAUGAAUUUCCUUCGCCUUGGAUGGGUUCUUUUUGAAAAACUUGUACUACAUUUGUCAAAAAUUCUUAAUUCUUUUUGUCUGACAUUUAGUAUCUUUAUUUAGACAAUUUGGAUGGUAUAUUGGCAGGUUAACUUGUGGUUGUAUUAGUAUACAUUUUUGCUUUUUGGUUGACAUUUAUCAGCUUAACUUAUGGUUGUAUUAGUAGCCAAUUUCGAUGGUAAUUUUCAUAUUGGCAUGGUUAACUUUGUGGUUGUAUUAUGUAAAAACAAUUUGGAUGGUAUUUUUAUAUUAACUUGUGUUAUAUUGGAUGACA